AUGGAAAUAAGCCUGGUGCUGAUCGUUGUUGUGUUGUGCUCCACUGCUGCUACCCUAGUUACUUGUAGUAGCGCCGGGUUUCACAUGGAGCUCACCCAUGUUGAUGGCAAGGGGAGCUACACCACGGCGGAGCGCGUGCAGCGCGCCAUGGCCAGCAGCCGGCAGCGCCUGGCGUCAUUUGCUGACGUGAGCGUGCCAAUCCACUGGAACACCAGCCAGUACAUUGCUGAGUACCUGAUCGGCAACCCACCACAGUGCGCGGAGGCCAUCGUCGACACAGCUAGUGACCUCAUCUGGACGCAGUGUUCCACCUGCAGCCUCAAAGGAUCUUGCGUCAUGCAGGGCCUGCCCUACUAUAAGGCGUCCAAGUCGGACAGCUUCCAUCUCGUGGCAUGCAACGACACCUUGUGCUUGGCCAACUUGGAGCACUCGUGCGCCAGGGGCGGCAGCUGUGCUUUCGGGGCCUUCUAUGGCGUGGGCGUCGCCAGAGGGUCCAUUGGCACUGAGGUGGGUGUCAAAAAGUUCUCUUAUUGUCACACCGCCUCUCUGCGCAGCAACGCCACCGCUAGUGCCAACAACCAUCUUUCCGUCAGCGCCUCGGCGAGCCUUAGCGGCGGCAGCCCUGUGAUGUCCAUGUCUUUCGCGCAAGUCCCAAAAAAGUACCCAUUCUACUACGUCCCGCUCAUCGGGAUAAGCGUGGGACAGACAAGACUGUCCAUCCCACCGACGGUGUUUGCUCCGAAACAAAACGGCAGCGGCGGGUUCAUUAUCGACUCAGGCAACCCCACUACGGCUUUGGCCCAUGGGGCUCCGGAGGCAGGUGAACGGGAGCCUCGUGUCGCCAUCCGCAAACAGUGGAAUGAACCUGUGUAUGGCGGUGGCACACGAAAAGACAGUGCCAUCCAUGGUGCUCCACUUCAGUGGCGGAGCGGACAUGGUGCUGCCGCCGGAGAACUACUGGGUGCCGCUUGA
rnacentral:rRNA from 1 species